rnacentral:miRNA from 1 species
GAUCUUUAUCUCUGUUGUAUCUGUAUGUGUGUGUGUGUGCGUAUAUGUUAUAGGUGCUCACUAACAGCACUUGCCCCAAGCAGUCUGUAUA